GAUGCCGAGAAGCCACACAGGCGUGGACCUGCUUCGCCAAGCAGAAAGCGGGAGAGUGACGUGAUGUCACGCAGAGCUUGGUCCUGCUGGAGAUUUGGGGAAGUCUCAAGGAAAGAAACUGGUUCCAGACGUGAGAGUUUUAUUCCAAUAUGGCUUCCAGGAUCCCAGAGGACUCGACUUGUAGAGAGCAUCACUGGAGUCAGAAGGGCCGAGGUCCAGGGGCCAAGAACACACCUUGGUGCCAGAAGAAGUUCAUAAGUCUUGAAAUGCAGCAUCUCCUGAGAUGGAGUUCCACUUUUUUGCCCAGGCUGGUCUUGAAUUCAUGGGCUCAAGUGAUCUUCUAGCCUCAGCCUCCCAAAGCUCUGGGAUUACGUGUGUGAGUCACCCUGCCCAGCCUGAUAAAUUCUGGAGGAAAAAAUUAGAAGAGAAGAUGGUAUUUCAUUUGUGGCUAAGAAUCUUUGACAACUUUCUUCUGUUUCCUCACUGCAGAGGAAUCAUCUCUCAAAGCCACUCAACUCAUGCUUGUCUCCUCUGAAACAUCAUUGGUAGGUGGAGUGGAAAGACUGCAAAUUUCAGAGUCAUCUGGGCUUCAACUUCCAGCCCACCCACACCCUGACCCCAUGACCCUGGUUAUGUUAACAUUUCCAAGCCUCGUUUUCUUUAC
rnacentral:lncRNA from 1 species